CUGAAAGGGGAAGUUAUUUGCUGUAAGGCCUGCAACUUUCUUAAUUCAGUUAUUUUUUCCUAUUAAAAAAAAUACUUCAUAUUUUCUUGAGAUAAAAUUUGUGUUGACAGAGUAGUCUAAAAUCUCUAACGCAUUAACUUCUUCUAUAUUUCCUUCUUCUGAGCCCCCGGCAUGUAAUCAAAAUCAGCCGCCUUCAUCACCACCAUAUCUUGUUUAUCCCGUCGUAUUGAUUCGGGUUAAAAACACAUCACAUAGAUCGAAGCCAUUUGAAGGAAACAAGUAAUGGGAUGAAAUAUUAGAAUACUUGGAUGUCUUAAAAAUUGAAGAUAUAAUCUAUGUGAAAAUAGGUAAUAAUCCUCCUUAAAGAAACAGACAAAUAUAUUUGAGUCUCAUUUUCCAAAAGUCAAUUUCAACUCAAAGGAACCGAUUGAUGAUCAAGGGCUGCAAUGACUAGUAUGAGGAUUGGAAUCAAAUUUUGGUUGAGAAGAGCUAAUACGCUUCAUUGAUUAAAUAAAUCACUUUACAUCUAAAAUGUUUUAAUAUUUGGUUCAACAACAUUUGGAGAUCUAAUAUUCUU